rnacentral:rRNA from 1 species
UGCGUAGGUGGUCCGUUAAGUUCGUUGUGAAAGCCCUGGGCUCAACCCAGGAACUGCUUCGAAUACUGGCGGACUUGAGGCCGGUAUGGGUCACUGGAACUGACGGUGGAGCGGUGAAAUGCGUAGAUAUCGUCAGGAACGCCAAUGGUGAAGACAGGUGACUGGGCCGGAUCUGACACUGAGGCACGAAAGCGUGGGGAGCGAACGGGAUUAGAUACCCCGGUAGUCCACGCCCUAAACGAUGCAGACUAGACUGCAGCGGGUUACACCCCGUUGCGGUCGGAGCGAAAUUGUUAAGUCUGCCACCUGGGAAGUACGGUCGCAAGGCUAAA